UACGAGGGGGGCGAGCGUUGUUCGGAAUUAUUGGGCGUAAAGGGUGCGUAGGCGGUUUGGUAAGUCUUGUGUGAAAUCUACAGGCUCAACUUGUAGUCUGCACGAGAAACUGCCGGGCUUGAGUAUGGGAGAGGUGAGUGGAAUUCCUGGUGUAGCGGUGAAAUGCGUAGAUAUCGGGAGGAACACCUGUGGCGAAAGCGGCUCACUGGACCAUAACUGACGCUGAUGCACGAAAGCUAGGGGAGCAAACAGG
rnacentral:rRNA from 1 species